UACGGGGGGGGCAAGCGUUGUUCGGAAUUACUGGGCGUAAAGGGCUCGUAGGCGGCCAACUAAGUCAGACGUGAAAUCCCUCGGCUUAACCGGGGAACUGCGUCUGAUACUGGAUGGCUAGAGUGUGGGAGAGGGAUGCGGAAUUCCAGGUGUGAGCGGUGGAAAUGCGUAGAUAUCUGGAGGAACACCGGUGGCGAAGGCGGCAUCCUGGACCAACACUGACACUGAGGAGCGAAAGCCAGGGGAGCAAACGG
rnacentral:rRNA from 1 species